AUUGAACGCUGGCGGCAGGCUUAACACAUGCAAGUCGAGCGGUAACAGAGAGGAGCUUGCUUCUCUGCUGACGAGCGGCGGACGGGUGAGUAAUGCCUAGGAAUCUGCCUAGUAGUGGGGGAUAACUUGCCGAAAGGUAAGCUAAUACCGCAUACGUCCUACGGGAGAAAGGAGGGGACCUUCGGGCCUUUCGCUAUUAGAUGAGCCUAGGUCGGAUUAGUUAGUUGGUGAGGUAAUGGCUCACCAAGACCGCGAUCCGUAACUGGUCUGAGAGGAUGAUCAGUCACACUGGAACUGAGACACGGUCCAGACUCCUACGGGAGGCAGCAGUGGGGAAUAUUGGACAAUGGGGGGAACCCUGAUCCAGCCAUGCCGCGUGUGUGAAGAUGGUCUUAGGAUUGUAAAGCACUUUAAGUUGGGAGGAAGAGCAGUUAACUAAUAUUUGACUGUUUUGACGUUACCGACAGAAUAAGCACCGGCUAACUUCGUGCCAGCAGCCGCGGUAA
rnacentral:rRNA from 1 species